AUGGUACUACUCCAAGACAACCUAUUUUUCAUUUGUCAUGAUGCUUCCGGAGACAUCCGCCUCUUCUUAUUUUUUCUGUGCGUAGCUACUAUGACCACACUCCUGUACCUCAUGAGCCGUUCGCGCACAGUAUACAUUGUUGAUUAUGCGUGUUUCCGGCCUGACUCGAACUACCGCACCAGCAAGGCCGCAUGGAUUGAGAACAUUCACCAUUCUUGGUCCUACGACGACAGCGGCCAUCUGCGCUUCUUGACCCGUAUUUCUGAACGGUCAGGCCUUGGUGAUGACACCUACCUCCCCGGCUUGCCACCAUCAUAUCCCACCAUAUUAUUGUUUAAGUGA
rnacentral:rRNA from 1 species